rnacentral:tRNA from 1 species
CGUUCCAUGGUCUAGUGACAUUGGACUUUUUAAAUCCAGAAACCCGGGUUCAAAUCUCGGUGGAACCU